rnacentral:lncRNA from 1 species
UUCGUUCUUUCUUUCUUUCUUUGUUUCUGUCAGUUGUUCAACAAUGGCUACAACUGAGGUUUCCCCAAUGGAUCAAAAUCCCACACCUCCUAAACAGCCAUCAUUUCAACAACACUGCCCUCCUGAUUUUCCAAGAAAGGUAUAAGCAACAAAACAGGCUGUACGCAACAUGUUUUAAAUAAAACAUUGUUUUGUGAUGAACAAAAACAUUAUCUGCAACAUGUAGGUGUUUGCAGAGACGAUAGCAACCUACUUGCUGGUUUUUGUGACAUGUGGAUCAGCUGCCAUUAGUUCGGUCGAUGAACAUAAAAUCUCAAGGUUAGGAGCUUCAGUUGCAG